GGUUUGAUCCUGGCUCAGGUUAGACGCUGGCGGGAUGCUUUACACAUGCAAGUCGAACGGCAGCACGGACUUCGGUCUGGUGGCGGGUGGCGAACGGGUGAGUAAUGUAUCGGAACGUGCCCACAACGCGGGGAUAACUGCAUACGAAAGCGUAAUAAUACCGCAUACGCCCUUCAAGGGAAAGCGGGGGACCUUCGGGAGCAUAGCACUAUUAGAAGCGGCCGAUAUCAGUUAGCUAGUUGGUGGGGUAACGGCUCACCAAGGCGACGAUCCGUAGCUGGUUUUGAGAGGACGACCAGCCACACUGGGACUGGGGCCUGCAAGCCCAGACUCCUACGGGAGGCAGCAGUGGGGAAUUUUGGACAAUGGAAACCACAGUCCAGCCAUCCCGCGUGCGAUGAAGGCCUUCGGGUUGUAAAGCACUUUUGGCAGGAAAGAAACGGCACGGGAUAAUACCCCGUGCAACUGACGGUACCUGCAGAAUAAGCACCGGCUAACUACGUGCCAGCAGCCGCGGUAAUACGUAGGGUGCAAGCGUUAAUCGGAAUUACUGGGCGUAAAGCGUGCGCAGGCGGUUCGGAAGAAGAUGUAACGAAAUCCCAGAGCUUUAACUUUGGAACUGCAUUUUUUAACUACCGGCUAGAGUGUGUGUGUCAGAGGGAGGUGGAAUUCCACGUCUUAGCAGUGAAAUGCGUAGAUAUGCGGAGGAACACCGAUGGCGAAGCCAACCUCCUGGGAUAACACUGACGCUCAUGCACGAAAGCGUGGGGAGCAAACUGAUUAGAUACCCUGGUAGUCCACGCCUAAACGAUGUCAACUAGCUGUUGGGGCCUUCGGGCCUUGGUAGCGCAACUAACGCGUGAAGUUGACCGCCUGGGAGGCUCGGUCGCAAGAUUAAAACUCAAAGGAAUUGACGGGGACCCGCACAAUCGGUGGAUGAUGUGGAUUAAUUCGAUGCAACGCGAAAACCUUACCUACCCUUGACAUGUACAGUCCGAAGAGAUUUGGGAGUGCUCGCAAGAAGAGCUUGGAACACAGGUGCAUGGCUGUCGAUGAAAUAGUGUCGUGAGAUGUUGGGUUAAGUCCGCAACGAGCGCAACCCUUGUCAUUAGUUGCUACGAAGAGGCACUCUAAUGAGACUGCCGGUGACAAACCGGAGGAAGGUGGGGAUGACGUCAAGUCCUCAUGGCCCUUAUGGGUAGGGCUUCACGUCAUACAAUGGUCGGGACAGAGGGUCGCCAACCCGCGAGGGGGAGCCAAUCCCAGAAACCCGAUCAUAGUCCGGAUCGCAGUCUGCAACUCGACUGCGUGAAGUCAGAAUCGCUAGUAAUCGCGGAUCAGCAUGUCGCGGUGAAUACGUUCCGGAUCUUGUACACACCGCCCGUCACCAUGGGAGUGGGUUUUACCAGAAGUAGUUAGCCUAACCGUAAGGAGGGCGAUUACCACGGUAGGAUUCAUGACUGGGGUGAAGUCGUAUCAAUUCAG
rnacentral:rRNA from 1 species